rnacentral:lncRNA from 1 species
UUUUAUUUUCUUAUUUUUCUAUUUUUUUAAUGAAUUUUCUCUUUUCUCCUUUGUUUGAAUUGGUUUAAAAAUAAUUUUAUGCAUUUUUAAAUUAUGAAAAAUUUAUUUUAUGUUUCUUAUUUUAUUUUUAACCUUCCACAAUUUGCUUGGCGAUUUAUUUGGUGUUUUGAAAGAUUUUAUGGAUUUUCUCUUUAAUUUCCCUUUU